rnacentral:rRNA from 1 species
GCCAUUCUCUGUUCAGAGUCGGGGACAAGAAGCAGCAGGGACCGGGCUCCUGCUGUAGUGGAGUGGAGCUGCAGGGAGAGGAAGGAAGCCGGUGACAGAAGAAAAGAAGUUGCCGGCUCUGGUUCAUCAUGGAGAAACAGCUGCUCGCCCUCCUCCGCCUCGUCUUCCCUAACCAUGGAUUCGUGAGACAAUGCCAACGAAUUGUCGGUCACGGGUACUGAGUCCCUCUCAUGUGAGGUAAUUUUAACUUCUCAGUUGGAUAUUAGUCAACAUCCUGAAGUUAGGAAUGUUCAGUAUCCCCAUAUCUAAUUUAUCUUCUUGGUUACCCUUGCUCCAUGUUCCUCUGCUCCCCCCUUACGUGUCGACAAUGGAGGCUUUACAUCAUAGUGCGAGGCAGUGGUGCCUGCAAUAAUGACGAGGAAGAGCUGCAUCCACUAGGUUGCUGCUGCUCCAAAUCCAAAUAAUUGUUUCGUUAUCCAUGGUGCUUCUCAAUGUUCAAAAAAACAGAAAGCUUAAGCAGAGCGGAAGGCCACAACUCAGAGCAAUGGGUGCUUAAGCGUAAGCGUGUUUAAGCAUUUUUUUAAAUUGGCCAGAAUUUGACUGUUUCUGAGUAACAUUGAAGGAAAAUAGGGAACUUCUCUCUCUUCUACUGAUGCAGUAGCACCAUCAUCAUUACUAGCAUUAUCUCCUUUGUAAAUUGGAGUUGUUAUUUUUUCUUGGAAGUGAAGUUGUUACCUUUGUUUCUUUUAAUGCCAUGUUAAACCUGAUGCACCUUCUAGCCCUUGAUGUCUUUGUUAGUAAGUGUAGUCCAUAUUUUUUGCAAAUGAUGUCUCCAUCGGGUAUGAGUGUUUUCUUUUGCCAUUUGCCAAUUAUACUUGCCCCCUUUUGCUACUCAAAUGCCAAUGAUGAAUUAAAAAAAUAAGAUGCACUGGAUAUGGGUCUAUACAGUACCUAAAGGAUGUAAUAGUUUUCCAUUGGUUCAAAGUGAUGUGAUUAUAUUGUGAUUUUCAGAAUUGCUACUCCAAUUUUGUUUACCAUUCAUAGAACAACACUCUGCCGGUCUUGCUAUUCGCCAUUUUCCUCCCCACUAUAGUGCUGCCACUCAGUGAUGCCUCGGCAAGAAGACCAAUCGCAGGGAGAUGUGCCAUGGCAUGUCCUGAAGAGGCAAUCAGAUAUUUCGGUGGCCUCAAGCCCUCAACCCUCUGGAUCAUCCGUCCGUUGUGCAUGCUCUCAUUUGGGUUGCCGAGGGACACCUCCUCCUGUGGCGCUCUUGUCCAAUUUUUUGUUUAUGUAAAAAAUUCUUACCAUCGCCUCACCUAUUUGGACAAUUAGGUGAGCUCUGCAAUUUGGUUCUGUAUCCUUAAGAGGGAACACAUUUUUCCUUGGUCAUGCUACCAUAGUAACAUAAACUCUUACUCCAUAGUUACAAUCCCUAAAUUGUGGUGAGAUGCAAUGCUAAGCAAAUGGAAGAUAACAGUUUGUAUCGGCAAAAGUUCAAUUACAGUAUUUUGCCCCACUAAAAGAGAUGGAUAUUAGCAUUGUCCGUGGUGCAUUUUGUUUGCAUUUCCUGUGAUAGAAACGGGUGCAUUUCGUUUACAUUUUGCCAUGCCAGAUUUUAGAUACGAUGUUGAUGCCUACAAUUCUAAGCAAAUGGAAGAUAACAGUUUGUAUCGGCAAAAGUUCAAUUACAGUAUUUUGCCCCACUAAAAGAGAUGGAUAUUAGCAUUGUCCGUGGUGCAUUUUGUUUGCAUUUCCUGUGAUAGAAACGGGUGCAUUUCGUUUACAUUUUGCCAUGCCAGAUUUUAGAUACGAUGUUGAUGCCUACAAUUCUUUUAACUGAAUUUAUGUGGCAGAUGAGAACUGAUACAUUACUGCCCUCAAUCCUUGUGCUUUUCUGUAUAUUUAGGAACAUGAUACUACACUUGAUCUUUUCGUAAAAUAAAAACUGCUUGCAACAGAGAUGAUGCUUGUGAUUUUAGUUAGCUAAUGUUGAUGCUAUAUGGGAUUUUUUUUGUAUUCAAGGAACUGUGCACAUAAUGAACCAUAUAUUUCUUAUCCAGUGAUGUGUGCUCAUUACUAAUCUGAUGUGUUGUUUUCUUGUGAUGGACGCUCUUGCAUUUGUUGUCCAUUUUGCCAUCUUCAGCUUCAGGUAACUGCUUUAUGUGGAAAUAUGCCAAUGGAUAAUAUCCUCCAGAUUAACAAGUUCAUGUGUGCUGCUCUUAUUAUC